rnacentral:rRNA from 1 species
GAUGAACGCUGGCGGCGUGCCUAAUACAUGCAAGUAGAACGCUGAAGGAGGAGCUUGCUCUUCUGGAUGAGUUGCGAACGGGUGAGUAACGCGUAGGUAACCUGCCUGGUAGCGGGGGAUAACUAUUGGAAACGAUAGCUAAUACCGCAUGACAACAGUUAUUGCAUGAUAACUGUUUAAAAGGGGCAACUGCUCCACUACCAGAUGGACCUGCGUUGUAUUAGCUAGUUGGUGAGGUAACGGCUCACCAAGGCGACGAUACAUAGCCGACCUGAGAGGGGGAUCCGCCACACUGGGACGGAGACACGGCCCAGACUCCUACGGGAGGCAGCAGUAGGGAAUCUUCGGCAAUGGACGGAAGUCUGACCGAGCAACGCCGCGUGAGUGAAGAAGGGUUUCGGAUCGUAAAGCUCUGUUGUAAGAGAAGAACGAGUGUGAGAGUGGAAAGUUCACACUGUGACGGUAUCUUACCAGAAAGGGACGGCUAACUACGUG